GAGAUUGGAUUAAAAAAAAAAGAACACACAAGAACAAAUGAAAGAAAAUCGAACGCCAGGAGAUGAGAGCGGAGGACAAGAAAAUGUAUUCCGACCCCCUCCCCUGAACUCUCGGCUAUGGCUCACUCCUCCUUCUUCCCUCCCUCCCGUGAACCCCUUAGCCUCGCUUUUCUAUCUAUCGUUCCCUCUCUGUCAUUCUCUCCCCUCCCACCUCCUCAUGCGGUCGUUUGCGUACACAUGCGCCCUUACGAUUUCUCUCUUUCUCUCUCUUCCUCUCUCCGGCGACUGCAGUGCUUCUCAUCCUCGCAGCCUGGCAGCUUCAUCCGUGUUCCUCCCUCCUGGACGGAGAAACACGCGCAGCCCUUCUAAUGGUCCCCCCCCCACCCCUCUGCAUGCCUCCCUAAAAUACCAGGCCCCUUCAACAGCUCAUUUUCCUACUUGUCUCGGUGCCUGGUCACUGUCCGCUCUCCUCUGAACUUCACUUACAUUCAAAUUUUUUUUAUUCAUGUUUUUUGUUGAAUAUUUUUCCAGCCCUAUCCCACAAAAAUCUUGCAUUCAUAGUUUGAAAGCAGUACCGAUUGCUGAAUGAACAGUAGGAAAUGGGCUGAUGGGAUGGGUAGUAGGAAAAAACGUGGUUUGGAAGGAAACACUGAGAUGAGAGAAGUGACUGCCGCUGGGAUAGUGGAGAGGUGGAAGGACCCGGAGCAACGAGAGAAAGAACCAAACGUGGGAUCAACGAAACCGCGGGAAAAGGAGGAGGAACGACCAGACUGGUCUGCUUCGCAUGCGCCCUUUACAGCACUGGCUGAAGACGCGGGUCCCGCGUCGAGCAUGGGUGUUUACUAGUGGUCACUUUCACUUCUCUCCAAAGGAAUGCUUUCGAACUGCAGUUUAGAAUGUUUCUCCAAGACUGGAACGACAGAAGGAAUUGCAGCAUACGAAUGAAUGUCAUUCAUAAGGGUUUUGGAACCACAUGCGGG